rnacentral:lncRNA from 1 species
GUAAUAAAAAGAACAUGAUUUGAAACUCAUUCUUUAGAAGAAAGGUUUUUUCUCUUUUGGUAAUUUUAUUUUUUCACAAGGUAGGUGAGCAUGUUUUGUUUCCUAUGCUAAGGAACUACCUCUCACUAUAUUCAAAUGCAUCUAGAACUUGAGGGAAUCUAGGUAAAGAAACAAAUAAGGACAAGAAUUGGGGAACAAUAUAUGCCCUAGUAUUUUACAAUCAUCAUUUCAUGCAAGUCCCUGUAUUCCUUUCAACGAGGUAAUCCAAUGUUCAUCAAUACUUAGAUACAGGAACACGAGGCAAUAAGAAAUUCUUAUCCUAAAAAAUGCUUUGAUUUCUUAAUGCAUCUCUAAUGAAUAUCUAAUAGAUAAUUUGUAGGCAAAGAAAAUUGAGAAAAAAAUAAAACAAGAACCUCCCUUCUUGAUAUCCUUGAGGAUUUGGAAGAGGUGAAGGAAUAAAGUUGACCUGUAUUUUGAUAAAUAAUGAACAAAAUAUUCUAGUACGACAAAUUCAAUUUCUUUCUUUACAACUUACAUGCAUUAACAAAAGCAAGUAAAUUCCAAGUAAAAGCCAAGGUUAUAUCAAUACUAUAUAAAAAAGUGUGUUGGAUUAUUUAUAUUUUGACGUUCUUUACUUUUUUGAUAGAUCUAUGUUACCCUCGU